rnacentral:snRNA from 1 species
GUGCUCACUUCAGAAGCACCUGUACUAAAAUUGGAACAAUAGAGAUGAUUAGCAUGGAUGACACACGAAUUAGUAAAGCAUUUCAUAUUCUU